CCUACGGGUGGCAGCAGUGAGGAAUAUUGGACAAUGGACGAGAGUCUGAACCAGCCAAGCAGCGUGAAGGAUGACUGCUCUAUGGGUUGUAAACUCUUUUUAUAUGGGAAUAAAAUGUUCCACGUGUGGGAUGUUGUAUGUACCAUAUGAAUAAGGAACGGCUAACUCUGUGCCAGCAGCCGCGGUAAUACGGAGGAUCCGAGCGUUAUCCGGAUUUAUUGGGUGUAAAGGGAGCGUAGGUGGAUUGUUAAGUCAGUUGUGAAAGUUUGGGGCUCAACCGUAAAAUUGCAGUUGAAACUGGCAGGCUUGAGUACAGUAGAGGUGGGCGGAAGUCGUGGUGUAGCGGUGAAAUGCUUAGAUAUCAGGAGGAACACCGGUGGCGAAGGCGGCUCACUGGACUGCAACUGACACUGAGGCUCGAAAGUGUGGGGAUCAAACAGGAUUAGAUACCCCAGUAGUC
rnacentral:rRNA from 1 species